CAGAGCAAUCUGUGUGACUGCGUACCUUUUGUAUAAUGGGUCAGCGACUUAUAUUCUGUAGCAAGGUUAACCGAAUAGGGGAGCCGAAGGGAAACCGAGUCUUAACUGGGCGUUAAGUUGCAGGGUAUAGACCCGAAACCCGGUGAUCUAGCCAUGGGCAGGUUGAAGGUUGGGUAACACUAACUGGAGGACCGAACCGACUAAUGUUGAAAAAUUAGCGGAUGACUUGUGGCUGGGGGUGAAAGGCCAAUCAAACCGGGAGAUAGCUGGUUCUCCCCGAAAGCUAUUUAGGUAGCGCCUCGUGAAUUCAUCUCCGGGGGUAGAGCACUGUUUCGGCAAGGGGGUCAUCCCGACUUACCAACCCGAUGC
rnacentral:rRNA from 1 species